CCCUUUAUGAUUUUUUUUUUUUCUGCUCAGGACGAACGCUGGCGGCGUGCCUAAUACAUGCAAGUCGAGCGGACAGAUGGGAGCUUGCUCCCUGAUGUUAGCGGCGGACGGGUGAGUAACACGUGGGUAACCUGCCUGUAAGACUGGGAUAACUCCGGGAAACCGGGGCUAAUACCGGAUGGUUGUUUGAACCGCAUGGUUCAAACAUAAAAGGUGGCUUCGGCUACCACUUACAGAUGGACCCGCGGCGCAUUAGCUAGUUGGUGAGGUAACGGCUCACCAAGGCGACGAUGCGUAGCCGACCUGAGAGGGUGAUCGGCCACACUGGGACUGAGACACGGCCCAGACUCCUACGGGAGGCAGCAGUAGGGAAUCUUCCGCAAUGGACGAAAGUCUGACGGAGCAACGCCGCGUGAGUGA
rnacentral:rRNA from 1 species